UACGAAGGGUGCGAGCGUUAUUCGGAAUAACUGGGCGUAAAGAGCGUGAAGGCGGUUUUUUAAGUCACUUGUUAAAUGGCUCAGCUUAACUGAGCGCAUGCGGGUGAGACUGGGAAGCUAGAGUGCAGGAGAGAAAGGUAGAAUUCUCGGAGUAGCGGUAAAAUGCGUAGAUCUCGAGAGGAAUACCGGUUGCGAAGGCGGCCUUUUGGCCUGCAACUGACGCUCAAGCGCGAAAGCGUGGGGAGCAAACAGG
rnacentral:rRNA from 1 species